UACGUAGGGCGCAAGCGUUAUCCGGAAUUAUUGGGCGUAAAGAGCUCGUAGGCGGUUUGUCGCGUCUGCCGUGAAAAGUCCGGGGGCUCAACUCCGGAUCUGCGGUGGGGUACGGGCAGACUAGAGUGAUGUAGGGGGAGACUGGAAUUCCUGGUGUAGCGGUGAAAUGCGCAGAUAUCGGGAGGAACAUCAGUGGCGAAGGCGGCCUUCUGGUCCAGUACUGACACUCAAGUGCGAAAGCGUGGGGAGCAAACAGG
rnacentral:rRNA from 1 species